rnacentral:rRNA from 1 species
UUUCCUCCCGAGUGCUUGCACUCAAUUGGAAAGAGGAGUGGCGGACGGGUGAGUAACACGUGGGUAACCUACCCAUCAGAGGGGGAUAACACUUGGAAACAGGUGCUAAUACCGCAUAACAGUUUAUGUCGCAUGGCAUAAGAGUGAAAGGCACUUUCGGGUGUCGCUGAUGGAUGGACCCGCGGUGCAUUAGCUAGUUGGUGAGGUAACGGCUCACCAAGGCCACGAUGCAUAGCCGACCUGAGAGGGUGAUCGGCCACACUGGGACUGAGACACGGCCCAGACUCCUACGGGAGGCAGCAGUAGGGAAUCUUCGGCAAUGGACGAAAGUCCGACCGAGCAACGCCGCGUGAGUGAAGAAGGUUUUCGGAUCGUAAAACUCUGUUGUUAGAGAAGAACAAGGACGUUAGUAACUGAACGUCGCCUGACGGUAUCUAACCAGAAAGCCACGGCUAACUACGUGCCAGCAGCCGCGGUAAUACGUAGGUGGCAAGCGUUGUCCGGAUUUAUUGGGCGUAAAGCGAGCGCAGGCGGUUUCUUAAGUCUGAUGUGAAAGCCCCCGGCUCAACCGGGGAGGGUCAUUGGAAACUGGGAGACUUGAGUGCAGAAGAGGAGAGUGGAAUUCCAUGUGUAGCGGUGAAAUGCGUAGAUAUAUGGAGGAACACCAGUGGCGAAGGCGGCUCUCUGGUCUGUAACUGACGCUGAGGCUCGAAAGCGUGGGGAGCAAACAGGAUUAGAUAGCCUGGUAGUCCACGCCGUAAACGAUGAGUGCUAAGUGUUGGAGGGUUUCCGCCCUUCAGUGCUGCAGCAAAC